rnacentral:tRNA from 3 species
GGGCGGAUAGCUCAGUUGGCUAGAGCGCCUGCCUUACAAGCAGGAGGUCGUAGGUUCAAAUCCUGCUCUGCCCA